rnacentral:misc_RNA from 1 species
AGCAUUUACCGAGAAAUUCUGUGGCAUCCUUUGACAUAUUGUUUGGGAAUUGUGGCAUAUCCCCUGAAUAACCAAUUCUAUACAGAGCAGAAACAGGAUCAUUGAUCUCACACCAAGGAACUAAUCCUGUAGCCAUCUCAAUAAUUGUACAACCAAAAGCCCAAAUAUCAGCCGCAAAUCCUUGUUCUUCGCUUCGAGCAACUUCAGGUGCCAUAAAAGCCGGUGUACCGGAAAAUCCAGAAUUUUUUCCAUCUUUCAUCAAUUUCGCACAUCCCAAAUCAGCAAUUUUAACAUUCCCAUUUUCACAAAUCAAAAUGUUCUGCCCUUUCACAUCACAAUGCACAAUCCCAAUGGAGUGAAGAUAAUCCAAUCCCUGUAAGAUUUGUUGAGCGUAUAAUUU